CCUACGGGAGGCAGCAGUGAGGAAUAUUGGUCAAUGGCCGGAAGGCUGAACCAGCCAUGCCGCGUGAAGGUCAGUGCCCUAUGGGCGUUAAACUUCUUUUGUGCGGGAGCAAUAAUGGUCACGUGUGGCCAGACGAGAGUACCGUACGAAUAAACAUCGGCUAACUCCGUGCCAGCAGCCGCGGUAAUACGGGGGAUGCAAGCGUUAUCCGGAUUUAUUGGGUUUAAAGGGUGCGUAGGCUGUGAGGUAAGUCAGCGGUGAAAUGCCCCCGCUCAACGGGGUGAAGUGCCAUUGAUACUGCCUGGCUGGAAUGCGGAUGCCGUGGGAGGAAUGUGUGGUGUAGCGGUGAAAUGCAUAGAUAUCACACAGAACACCGAUUGCGAAGGCAUCUCACGAAUCCGCGAUUGACGCUGAUGCACGAAAGCGUGGGUAUCAAACAGGAUUAGAUACCCUAGUAGUC
rnacentral:rRNA from 1 species